rnacentral:rRNA from 1 species
UACGAAGGGGGCUAGCGUUGCCCGGAAUCACUGGGCGUAAAGCGCGCGUAGGCGGAUUGUUAAGUCAGGGGUGAAAUCCUGGAGCUCAACUCCAGAACUGCCUUUGAUACUGGCGAUCUCGAGUCCGGGAGAGGUGAGUGGAACUGCGAGUGUAGAGGUGAAAUUCGUAGAUAUUCGCAAGAACACCAGUGGCGAAGGCGGCUCACUGGCACGGUACUGACGCUGAGGUGCGAAAGCGUGGGGAGCAAACAGG